GUUUGAUCCUGGCUCAGAGCGAACGCUGGCGGCAUGCUUAACACAUGCAAGUCGCACGGCCCGGGGGCAGCUCCGGGCAGUGGCGGACGGGUGAGUAACGCGUAGGAAUCUAUCCUUGGAUGGGGGACAACCGUGGGAAACUACGGCUAAUACCGCAUGAUGCCUGAGGGCCAAAGCUCGUGAGAGCGUCUGGGGAGGAGCCUGCGUCUGAUUAGGUAGUUGGUGGGGUAAAGGCCUACCAAGCCUGCGAUCAGUAGCUGGUCUGAGAGGAUGAUCAGCCACAUUGGGACUGAGACACGGCCCAAACUCCUACGGGAGGCAGCAGUGGGGAAUAUUGGACAAUGGGCGCAAGCCUGAUCCAGCAAUGCCGCGUGGGUGAAGAAGGUUUUCGGAUUGUAAAGCCCUUUUGGCGGGGACGAUGAUGACGGUACCCGCAGAAUAAGCUCCGGCUAACUUCGUGCCAGCAGCCGCGGUAAUACGAAGGGGGCUAGCGUUGCUCGGAAUGACUGGGCGUAAAGGGCGCGUAGGCGGCUUGUACAGUCAGGCGUGAAAUUCCUGGGCUCAACCUGGGGACUGCGUCUGAUACGUGCUGGCUUGAGUAUGGAAGAGGGUCGUGGAAUUUCCAGUGUAGAGGU
rnacentral:rRNA from 1 species